CACACACACACACACACACACACAUACACACGGCAGGACUGAAGCCACCCUAGCAUGGUUUUAUCGUCAUAGCAUCACUUAUUUUCCGUGUCUGGUUUAAAUACAGGAAUACCUGGACCCACAAGUGACGAAAGACAGAAAGAAACCUCUUCCGAUGGCUUGAAGGAUGCUGAGUUGUUGCCAAGUUAUUGGACUUCCUGUCUACCCCUGUGACUCAGGGGUCAUCUAGGAGUAUGAUGUCACCCCCAGGAAGAAGUCUGGCAAGGCAGCUCUCUGGAAAUCCAGACCUCACAUUCAGACAUUUAUCAUGUCUUGGAAGGUGAAGCCUUGAAGUCAGUUGGAAAGUGAGGUAAAGCAAAGCUAGAUUCAAAGGAACCACCCAUGGAAGCACAUUGUGGAAUCCUGGAUUCCUGCCUUCCCGUGUUAACCAUCUGCUUCUCGGUCACCUAUGUGCUGCCAACAGCCCAUAAGAUAGCCCUGUUAAGUUAUCCUUCUAUCCAAAUGAGAGCGUGUAUUUCUCGGUAGAUUUUC
rnacentral:lncRNA from 1 species